rnacentral:rRNA from 1 species
CCUACGGGUGGCAGCAGUGAGGAAUAUUGGUCAAUGGUCGGGAGACUGAACCAGCCAAGCCGCGUGAGGGAUGAAGGUACAGAGUAUCGUAAACCUCUUUUGUCAGGGCACAAAGGCGGGGACGCGUCCCCGGAUGAGUAUACCUGAAGAAAAAGCAUCGGCUAACUCCGUGCCAGCAGCCGCGGUAAUACGGAGGAUGCGAGCGUUAUCCGGAUUUAUGGGGUUUAAAGGGUGCGCAGGCGGUCUGUUAAGUCAGCGGUAAAAGCCCGGGGCUCAACCCCGGCGCGCCGUUGAAACUGGCAGUCUCGAGUUGGAGAGAAGUAUGCGGAAUGCGCGGUGUAGCGGUGAAAUGCAUAGAUAUCGCGCAGAACUCCGAUUGCGAAGGCAGCAUACCGGCGCUCAACUGACGCUCAUGCACGAAAGUGUGGGUAUCGAACAGGAUUAGAUACCCUUGUAGUC